GUAGUUAGCCGUGGCUUCCUCCUUAGGUACCGUCAUUAUCGUCCCUAAAGACAGAGCUUUACAAUCCGAAGACCGUCAUCACUCACGCGGCGUUGCUGCAUCAGGGUUUCCCCCAUUGUGCAAUAUUCCCCACUGCUGCCUCCCGUAGGAGUCUGGGCCGUGUCUCAGUUCCAGUGUGGCCGAUCAGCCUCUCAGCUCGGCUACCCAUCGUUGGCUAGGUGGGCCGUUACCCCGCCUACUACCUAAUGGGACGCGAACCCCUCCUUCUGCGGAUUGCUCCUUUGACCUCUGAACCAUGCGGCUCUGUGGUCUUAUGCGGUAUUAGCACUUGUUUCCAGGUGUUAUCCCCCUCAAAAGGGCAGGUUGUUCACGCGUUACUCACCCGUUCGCCACUAACUACAAAUCCGAAAACCUGUAGUCCGUUCGACUUGCAUGUGUUAGGCACGCCGCCAGCGUUCGUCCUGAGCCAGGAUCAAACUCUGA
rnacentral:rRNA from 1 species